rnacentral:rRNA from 1 species
CAGCCGCCGCGGGAAUACGUAGGUCCCGAGCGUUGUCCGGAAUUACUGGGUGUAAAGGGAGCGUAGACGGUUAAACAAGUCUGAAGUGAAAUGCCGGGGCUCAACCCCGGAGCUGCUUUGGGAACUGUAGAACUGGGGUGUCGGAGGGGUAAGCGGAAUUCCCAGUGUAGCGGUGAAAUGCGUAGAUAUUGGGAGGAACACCGGCGGCGAAGGCGGCUUACUGGACGACAACUGACGUUGAGGCUCGAAGGCGUGGGUAGCAAACAGGAUUAGAUACCCGCGUAGUCCCUGUCUCUUAUAC